GACGAACGCUGGCGGCGUGCUUAACACAUGCAAGUCGAACGGAAAGGCCCUGCUUUUGUGGGGUGCUCGAGUUGCGAACGGGUGAGUAACACGUGAGUAACCUGCCCCUGACUUUGGGAUAUCUUCAGGAAACUGGGGCUAAUAGCGGAUAGGAUCUCUUGCUGCUUGGUGGGGGCUGGAAAGUUUCGGCGGUUGGGGAUGGACUCGCGGCUUAUCAGCUGGUUGGUUGGGUAGUGGCUUACCAAGGCUUUGACGGGUAGCCGGCCUGAGCGGGUGACCGGCCACAUUGGGACUGAGAGACGGCCCAGCCUCCUACGGGAGGAAGCAGUGGAGAAGAGUGCAAAAUGGGCGGAAGCGUGAUGCAGCGACGCCGCGUGCGGGAUGACGGCCUUCGGGUUGUAAACCGCUUUCGCCUGUGACGAAGCGUGAGUGACGGUAAUGGGUAAAGAAGCACCGGCUAACUACGUG
rnacentral:rRNA from 1 species